AAGGGUUAAACAGGUGAUGAUGAGCUAAACCACGGGCAUCACUGUGUUUUCUCUGCACACUGGUGUGUGGACGGCUCCCGUUCUUUGCUGUGCUGUAGUUGAUGGGUGGAGUACUGAGGACGACUGACCAGCGACGGGCUGUAACGCGGCUCCAAUCAGAGUCUGGCUGAAAUCAGACUUUUUAAAUGUUACAUAAAGGAAGAAAGACUCUUUUUCCUCUGGCUCGGAUGAAUAAUGUGGGCCACCGGAUGGAACACGCUGUUACCCACCUAUGCUUUGGGCGACGGUUCUCAGUCUCUCCAGCAGCUCCCCGAGGGCCAUCUCCUCCGUCUUCAUCCACAGGAUCAUCCUCCAGAGGGACAGCGGAAGACCAGCUGCCCAGCCAGCAGACUCUUUGACAGGAAGAAGAGACAGCUUGCCUGCUUUUCCCUCAACGGUGAUCUGGAGAGCAGAUGAAGGUGAUGAGGAUGGGAGAUGGGGAUGCUGCUGAGAAGAAGCCCGACCGGGCUGGCGGCGUCAGGACGGAGCAGCCCAGAGUGACGGUGGCGUGGAGAUGCGAGG